UCCUAAAGACUCGAGAGACCGAAGGACACUCUUGUCUUGGCAUCUUAUUUGCAUGCACGUAUGGAAAUCGCUAUUAAUCAGCUUGAUGUUUAAUACACAUGUGUGUACACAAGUUGAUACGAGUUCUACAAUCUCCUUUGAAAUUGUUUCUUUUCAGGCAUGGACACAUUUUAUUACAAUCGAAACUAAUUUAUUGUUUUUAUGUUAGAGAAGAUAGCAAAAGUAACGUUAUCCUUUCAGUACAAAAAAAUACUUUAGCUUAGAGAAUUAUUUCGAUAAAAGUUUCUUGAAUGCCCAAGCCUGUGUGCCACUGUCUUGUGUCAACAGCUCACAUUGCAACAUUUUGAAUGAACACGAAAUAGGAAUUUUUGAGCGGUAUAACGAGACUUAAUUAUUUUUACACAGUGCAUGAAGUAUUCGCAAGUUUGGCGUUAAGUGGACAGAAUUUUGGGUCAAAAUUAAGGAGGUAUCACUAUUAAUUUUUCCUUAACAUGUUAAGCGCCAGGAUUUUUUCAACAUUACGAAAAAUAGUGAAAAAGAAAGGGGUGAUGAGAACAAAAUUGUCCUAUUUAUUGUUUCUUCUUUCAGUAACUUGCGGCUCUUAAUUUAAAUUGGUGCUUAAUCUGUUAAAAAAAUGUUCAUAGCGUGAAUAGCGAUCGUUCCUAAUUGAAACAGAUAUCGUACAUUACUUGAACGCGUGACCACGCGUUUUGUAUGAAAUUAUUUAUGAAUACAUGAGAUACUGAAGAACGCAUCGAA